AAAGGGCCUGUAGGUUGCUUAUUAAGUUUGUAGUUAAAGACUAGGGCUCAACCUUAGGAAAGCUAUAGAUACUAAUUAGCUAGAGUAUGGAAGGGGUAGGGGGAAUUUCUAGUGUAGUAGUAAAAUGCUUUGAUAUUAGAAGGAACGCCAGAGGCGAAGGCGCUCUACUGGAACAUUACUGACACUAUAAGGCGAAAGCUAGGGGAGCGAAAGGGAUUAGGUACCCCUGUAGUCCUAGCCGUAAACGAUGAAUACUCAGAAUCGGAAAAGCGUAUCUUUUUCGGAUUUCAAGCUAACGCAUUAAGUAUUCCGCCUGGGGAGUACGCUCGCAAGUGUGAAACUCAAAGGAAUUGACGGGGGCCCACACAAGCGGUGGAGCAUGUGGUUUAAUUCGAUGCAACGCGAAGAACCUUACCAGGACUUUUAUCUAUUUAGUUUUAGGAAAUUAAAAUUUGGUGAAGUAGAAAUAGGUGGUGCAUGGCUGUCGCCAGCUCGUGUCGUGAGAUGUUGGGUUAAUUCCCUUAACGAGCGCAACCCUUGUUUGGUCAGUUGUUAUGGAUUUCUGAGAAGACUGCCGAUGAGAAAUCGGAGGAAGGUAAGGAUGACGUCAAGUCAGUAUGCCCCGUAUGUCCUGGGCUACACGCGUGCUAACAUGGUUAAGACAAAGAGCCGCUUACUUGUAAAAGAUGAAAAGACUAAAAUAAAUAAAACUAUAGUAAGAGCAUCU
rnacentral:rRNA from 1 species